rnacentral:rRNA from 1 species
CAGCAGCCGCGGUAAUACGGAGGAUCCGAGCGUUAUCCGGAAUUAUUGGGUUUAAAGGGUGCGUAGGCGGAUAGAUAAGUCAGUGGUGAAAGACGGUGGCUCAACCAUCGCAGUGCCGUUGAUACUGUUUAUCUUGAAUAUGGAUGAGGUAGGCGGAAUGUGGCAAGUAGCGGUGAAAUGCAUAGAUAUGCCACAGAACACCGAUUGCGAAGGCAGCUUACCAAGGCAAAAUUGACGCUGAGGCACGAAAGCGUGGGAAUCGAACAGGAUUAGAUACCCCAGUAGUCCCUGUCUCUUAUAC